CACAAUCCGCAGCCUCUGGGUCUGUGCAGUGACCAACCAGUCCCCUGAGAACUUCCCGCUCCAGCACCCGGGACAAUGAGGCUUUGGUUGUAUCUCGUUCUCACUGCAGCAUGUCUGGAAGGUGUCCGGUCCCAGGUGCAGCUGGUGGAGUCCGGAGGGGAUGUGAAAAAGCCCGGAGACUCUCUCCGCCUCUCCUGCAAAGCCUCCGGGUUCACCUUCAGAAGCUACUGGAUGGACUGGGUCCGCCAGGCCCCCGGGAAGGGGCUGGAGUGGGUCGCCCGUAUCAGCAGUGGCAGUGGGAGUAGCACAUACUACGCUGAUGCAGUCAAAGGGCGAUUCACCAUCUCCAGGGACAAUCCCAGCAACCUGCUGUAUCUGCAACUGACCGGCCUGAAACCCGAGGACACCGCCCGCUAUUACUGUGCGAGAGACACAGUGGGGGGAAUCUCGACAGGGCUCAUACAAAAACCCGAGGCGCAGAACCGCCCUUCUCCCGUGCGCCGCGUGGGGGCAGCACUUCCCCAAACAAUCCAGCCCUGGGCACAGGAACUGGAUCUACAACCAGAGUGA